GGAUCUAGCGGCGGACGGGUGAGUAACGCGUGGGAACGUCCCCUUUUCUACGGAAUAGCCUCGGGAAACUGAGGAGUAAUACCGUAUACGCCCUUCGGGGGAAAGAUUUAUCGGAGAAGGAUCGGCCCGCGUUGGAUUAGGUAGUUGGUGGGGUAAUGGCCUACCAAGCCGACGAUCCNUAGCUGGUUUGAGAGGAUGAUCAGCCACACUGGGACUGAGACACGGCCCAGACUCCUACGGGAGGCAGCAGUGGGGAAUCUUAGACAAUGGGCGCAAGCCUGAUCUAGCCAUGCCGCGUGAGCGAUGAAGGCCUUAGGGUUGUAAAGCUCUUUCAGUGGGGAAGAUAAUGACGGUACCCACAGAAUAAGCCCCGGCUAACUCCGUGCCAGCAGCCGCGGUAAUACGGAGGGGGCUAGCGUUGUUCGGAAUUACUGGGCGUAAAGCGCGCGUAGGCGGAUUGGAAAGUUGGAGGUGAAAUCC
rnacentral:rRNA from 1 species